AUUGAUAAUGAAAGAUUAUGAGGCUCUCCUCAAUGACUUUGUAGAGGAAAGAGAAAUCCUUAAACAGGAAAUUGUUGAACUAAAAAAGGAGCUGGAGAAAGCUAAUGAAAAGGUAUCAGAAGCCAGGAAGAGAGAUAACGCUAUGCUUUAUCCAAGGAAUGAAGAAUCGCUAAAAAGGUUGAAAGAACUUAUGGCAGAGGAGAAAUUAAAGAGGUAA